rnacentral:tRNA from 1 species
UGGUGCAGUGGUUAAGCGUUUGGCUGCUAACCAAAAGGCUGGUAGUUCAAAUCUACC